rnacentral:rRNA from 1 species
AUUGAACGCUGGCGGCAGGCCUAACACAUGCAAGUCGAGCGGAUGAAGAGAGCUUGCUCCUUGAUUCAGCGGCGGACGGGUGAGUAAUGCCUAGGAAUCUGCCUGGUAGUGGGGGACAACGUUUCGAAAGGAACGCUAAUACCGCAUACGUCCUACGGGAGAAAGCAGGGGACCUUCGGGCCUUGCGCUAUCAGAUGAGCCUAGGUCGGAUUAGCUAGUUGGUGAGGUAAUGGCUCACCAAGGCGACGAUCCGUAACUGGUCUGAGAGGAUGAUCAGUCACACUGGAACUGAGACACAGUCCAGACUCCUACGGGAGGCAGCAGUGGGGAAUAUUGGACAAUGGGCGAAAGCCUGAUCCAGCCAUGCCGCGUGUGUGAAGAAGGUCUUCGGAUUGUAAAGCACUUUAAGUUGGGAGGAAGGGCAGUAAGUUAAUACCUUGCUGUUUUGACGUUACCGACAGAAUAAGCACCGGCUAACUCUGUGCCAGCAGCCGCAGUAAAAC